GGCCUGCUGGCUCAAUGGCAGAGCGCUUGACUACGAUUGAUUCCGGUUAAUCAAGAGGUUCCAGGUUCGAGCCCUGGGUAGGUCA
rfam:Hortaea werneckii EXF-2000 unitig_13, whole genome shotgun sequence.